rnacentral:piRNA from 1 species
UGAUAAGACACGCCCGACCAAACCAUCAC